CCUACGGGAGGCAGCAGUGGGGGAUAUUGCACAAUGGGGGAAACCCUGAUGCAGCGACGCCGCGUGUGGGAAGACGGUCCUCUGGAUUGUAAACCACUGUCCCCAGGGACGAAGAUGACGGUACCUGGGGAGGAAGCUCCGGCUAACUAAGUGCCAGCAGCCGCGGUAAUACGUAGGGGGCGAGCGUUGUCCGGAAUUACGGGGUGUAAAGGGAGCGUAGGGGGGACUGCAAGUUGGAUGUCAAAUCUACCGGCUCAACCGGUAGCCGCACUCUAAACUGCAGUUCUUGAGUGAAGUAGAGGCAGGCGGAAUUCCUAGUGUAGCGGUGAAAUGCGUAGAUAUUAGGAGGAACACCAGUGGCGAAGGCGGUCUGCUGGACAGCAACUGACGGUGAGGCGCGAAAGCGUGGGGAGCAAACAGGAUUAGAUACCCUUGUAGUC
rnacentral:rRNA from 1 species